ensembl:lncRNA LINC02817 long intergenic non-protein coding RNA 2817
GGGGGGAAAAAUGCAGUGUCAUAGAAAAAAAAAAAAAGUAAAGAUCAGCAGACAAGAGGAAAAGUAACUGAAGAGCUGUUUCCUGUGCCUGCCCCUGAGAGCUGAUGGCUUCCCAGAGAUGCCUCACAGUCCUGCGCAGACAGAGAGAAUGCAGAAGCUGGCAAAGGAUCCUCCACACGCAAGAUCAGAGGACGUCCCAGAUCAUCUUUUCUUUGUGGAUACUGCAGGUCUACGUGAAAUAGUGUGUUUUUGCGGGGUGCUGUCCCUUAGGACAAGUGAAGGGCUGAUGAGAAAGGAAACUGCGUGAGGUGUACAGUAAGGAGCAGACAACAUGGCACUGGCCAAGUGGAAAGGCUGUUUGCAUAAUAAGAUUACGAUGGGGUGGCCUGCCUUCCCUGUGUGCUACGUAAACAUCACACCUGAUCCAACCAAUCUGCAGGCCCUACAUAAAUCAGACACCGCCUCCUCCAGCCUGCCUAUAAAAUCUGGUACACUCCACGUGGGCCAGAAGUCCCAUUUGGAUGCCCCUCUCUUUCGCAAGAGAGAGAGCUGUUCUCCUUUCUCUUUCUUUUGCCUAUUACAUUCCGCUCCUAAAGUCACUUCUCAUGUAUGUCCACGUCCUUAAUCUUCUUGAUGCAAGACAAUGAACCCGGGUAUUUACCCCAGACAACAACACCACUUCACUAGGAGUUAAAAGAACUUGAAAUGCAAAUUCAUGGUCAUCUGGUUCCAAAGCCCAUAUUAACAAAAUUUUUUUAAUUGUGAUAAAAUACACAUAACAUAAAGUUGACCGUGUUAACUGUUUUUAAAUGUACAGUCCAGUAGUGUUAAGUACAUUCACAUUGUUGGGCAAUCCUUCUUCAGAACUUUUUAAGUUUCCCAAACUGAAGCUCUGCGUCUAUUAAGAACAACUCUUUCUUCCAAUCCCCAGCUGUUGGCAACUAUCAUUCUACUUUCUGUCUUUAUGCAUUUAAUAAUUCUACGUACCUCAUAUAAAUGAAAUCAAAUGGUAUUUGUAACUGGCUUAUUUCACUUAGCAUAAUAUCCUCAAGAUUCAGUCAUAUUGUUAUAUGUGUCAUAAAUUGCAUUUGUAAUAUCACAAACUACACCUUGAUAUAUUGUCUACUGAUUAGCAUGGAUUUAUAAUUAUUUUUAUGCUUUGCCUUCUACAUUCUAUAAAAGAAUAAAAAGUUGAGUUAAAAACCAAAAUUAUAAUAAUGAAA